CAUACUCAGUUUUCAUUCUAAAUAUUAAAUUCCCCCUCUCUUUUACAGGAAAAUGUACAUUGAGACUUGUCGCAGUAUCAAAUGCUUGCCUCCUCUGAGAAUGUGCUUGAAACAAGAAUGACCUGGAGAAAACAGACCGUCACAAGAGAAGAAGGAGGGCUUCCUGUAGAAAGAUCAUGGGGUGCCUUGAGGUUCCGGCCUUGAAUUUCUGCCCUUUACCUCAAAGCGAUGGCCUCUUGGAGGAGCAAAGCACAAUGGACUGGUGCCUGUACAUGUAAUGCAGAAGCUCAUGAUGAUAUGGCAGACAAGACAAGGACCUUGCUGUCUAAAGCUCAGAGACCAGAUGACAGUGUCUGAAGUA